AGAAAUAUAUGCCUACUUCCAUAGCUCAGUUUAUAAAAUGGAAGAGUGAAGAGAUUCUAUUUACAAAGUUCUGAUUUUACUCUAGCCAGGAAACAUUAAAAAAUUAUCUGUAAGCUCUGUAAAGGCAGGAAUUGAAUCUUUAUUGAUCUGUGUGCUGCACUUGGUGAGUAAUAAAAAUAUAUUUGUUGAAUGAAUUAAAUUAGUGACUCUUUAGAAAAGGAGAGUGAAGAACAUGGGGCAUGCAGGUAGGGAGCUCAGGUGACCUGGUUUUCCUGUAACUGAGAUGUUUUUCUGGGAUUGGGGGAAGAUCUUUUUAGAAAAGGAGGUUGAAG
rnacentral:lncRNA from 1 species